rnacentral:rRNA from 1 species
GAAUUCGCCCUUAGAGUUUGAUCCUGGCUCAGGACGAACGCUGGCGGCGUGCUUAACACAUGCAAGUCGAGCGAGGAUUAUGGAAGAUUUCGGUCGGAAGCAAUUCGAGCGGCGGACGGGUGAGUAACGCGUGAGCAAUCUGUCCCAGACAGGGGGAUACCAGAUGGAAACAUCUGCUAAUACCGCAUAAGACCACGAGGUCGCAUGGCCUUGAGGUAAAAGAAUUAUCGGUUUGGGGUGAGCUCGCGUCCCAUUAGAUAGUUGGUGAGGUAACGGCCCACCAAGUCAGCGAUGGGUAGCCGACCUGAGAGGGUGAUCGGCCACAUUGGAACUGAGACACGGUCCAGACUCCUACGGGAGGCAGCAGUGGGGAAUAUUGGGCAAUGGGCGCAAGCCUGACCCAGCAACGCCGCGUGAAGGAAGAAGGUUUUCGGAUUGUAAACUUCUGUCCUUGGUGACGAACACAAUGACGGUAACCAAGGAGGAAGCCCCGGCUAACUACGUGCCAGCAGCCGCGGUAAUACGUAGGUGGCUAGCGUUGUUCGGAUUUAUUGGGCGUAAAGGGUCUGUAGGAGGUCUGUUAAAUUCGAGGUGAAAUACCACGGCUCAACCGUGGGGCUGCCGUUGAUACUGGCGGUCUGGAGUACGAUCGGCGCCGGCGGAAUGUGUCACGUAGCGGUGAAAUGCAUAGAUACGACACAGAACACCGAUCGCGAAGGCAGCUGGCGAGAACGAUACUGACGCUGAGGCACGAAGGUGCGGGGAUCAAACAGGAUUAGAUACCCUGGUAGUCCGCACAGUAAACGAUGAUGACUUGUUGUCGGCGAUAGACGGUCGGCGACAAAGCGAAAGCGAUAAGUCAUCCACCUGGGGAGUACGAUCGCAAGGUUGAAACUCAAAGGAAUUGACGGGGGCCCGCACAAGCGGAGGAGCAUGUGGUUUAAUUCGAUGAUACGCGAGGAACCUUACCCAGACUCAAAUGUUGACUGACGGGUCCAGAGAUGGGCCGUUCCUUCGGGACAGUCAGCAAGGUGCUGCAUGGUUGUCGUCAGCUCGUGCCGUGAGGUGUCAGGUUAAGUCCUAUAACGAGCGCAACCCCUACGUCCAGUUGCCAGCGGGCAAAGCCGGGGACUCUGGAGGAACUGCCUACGCAAGUAGAGAGGAAGGUGGGGAUGACGUCAAAUCAGCACGGCCCUUACGUCUGGGGCGACACACGUGCUACAAUGGCCGGUACAGAGGGCAGCCACCCCGCGAGGGGGAGCGAAUCUCGAAAGCCGGUCUCAGUUCGGAUCGGAGUCUGCAACCCGACUCCGUGAAGUUGGAUUCGCUAGUAAUCGCGCAUCAGCCAUGGCGCGGUGAAUACGUUCCCGGGCCUUGCACACACCGCCCGUCA